rnacentral:rRNA from 1 species
GACGAACGCUGGCGGCGUGCUUAACACACGCAAGUCGAACGGAAAGGCCCUGCUUUUGUGGGGUGCUCGAGUGGCGAACGGGUGAGUAACACGUGAGUAACCUGCCCUUGACUUUGGGAUAACUUCAGGAAACUGGGGCUAAUACCGGAUAGGAGCUCCUGCUGCAUGGUGGGGGUUGGAAAGUUUCGGCGGUUGGGGAUGGACUCGCGGCUUAUCAGCUUGUUGGUGGGGUAGUGGCUUACCAAGGCUUUGACGGGUAGCCGGCCUGAGAGGGUGACCGGCCACAUUGGGACUGAGAGACGGCCCAGACUCCUACGGGAGGCAGCAGGGGAGAAUAUUGCACAAUGGGCGGAAGCCUGAGACAGCAACGCCGCGUGCGGGAUGACGGCCUUCGGGUUAUAAACCGCUUUCGCCGGUGACGAAGCGUGAGUGACGGUAAUGGGUAAAGAAGCACCGGCUAACUACGUG